rnacentral:rRNA from 1 species
AGUGAACGCUGGCGGCGUGGAUUAGGCAUGCAAGUCGAACGAUACCGUAAGGUAUAGUGGCAAAAGGGCGAGUAACACGUGAGAAAUUUACCUUUGAGUGGGGAAUAACCAUGGGAAACCAUUGCUAAAACCGCAUAAGACCACGACAGGGCAUCCUGUUGUGAUCAAAAGGGGGGACCGCAAGGCCUCCUGCUCGAAGAUGAUCUCGCGUCCUAUCAGCUAGUUGGCGGGGUAAUGGCCCACCAAGGCUUUUGACGGGUAGCUGGACUGAGAGGUUGGUCAGCCGCAUUGGGACUGAGACACUGCCCAGACUCCUACGGGAGGCAG